CGCGCCUGCAUAAAAAUGCGAUAAAUUAUUGAAAAUAUCAUCUUUCCGGAAAGCAUUUACAACAUAAUAAAUUUCAGGAGCGAUCGGCUCAUUUUUUUUCCCAUCACUUGCUCUUUACCCGGCACACUCCAUAUCCUUGCCCUCAUUCACUCGCUCGUGUUGGUGCCUCCUGCUAUCCCCUCCUUUUUGUUACCUAAUCUCCACAUACAAAUCCUUUCCCGCUCCUUUCGCUGAAUAGCGAGGACUGAUCCAUACUACUGUGUUCCAUUUAAACCGAAUUUUGAUUUGUACUCUUUUCAUACAUCAUUCAAUAUGCAAAAGAAAUAAGGGGAUUAAAUAAAACUUAUCUGUUACUUGUGGAAAUCGUUAGGUAAAUACACCCGUAUGUUCUUUUGAUGCUGAUCUAUUAAAUAACCGUACUUAUGGUACACUUUAGAAUAGGUUUUACGCAUUUUACUCAAUCUUCGACAUUCUAAAUUUCAAAAUUAGAUCGUCAGCGCUUUUGAGUUUGUAACUGAGUUCAAAAUAUUUAGACAAGGCUUAGGAGGAGCGUCAUUGAGAGUGCUGGUGUAGGCAUCCGAACAGGUCCCUUGUACGCAGUGCAAUUGAAAGCGCAAUUCCAGCUUGAUGUCCAUGCCUUUCCCGGGAUGGUUUCCACGUUGAACCUCGGAGUCCAAGGAACAACAGCUCCAGCGCCCCCUCCAGUUCGGCUGAAGUUGUCUUACUAGAGAUGCGGGAAGGAAGAGUUUACGUGUGAUUUCAGCCCAAUGGUAAACCCCUCAAAGAUUCUACACCAGGAGCCCUGUGGAAACUCUAAAAUUAAUAGAAGGUUGACAAAGUGCCGGCGCGUGUGAGGUUGGAUUCGUGGCUGCAGCAUCGCCAAUACAUUGUUUCCCGAAGUCACCCGGGUAAAAUCGGGAGUUCAUGCUGAAAGGUUCUUUUUUUUGCAUUGACAAUCGUUCUUUUAAAAGUCGAUAGUGGGACCAUUAAAAAUGGGUUGAAACGCCUCUUGAUCGUGCGAGACUUGAGCGUGACGGGAAUUUACUCCGAUUCCCAAUGAAAUGCACAAGAAAGCAGCCACUGCGCUCCAUGCCUCACACAAGGUUGCCUUCUAUCUAAAAAUGAGGAACAUACAAAGGAAUCAUUUCACUGGGGACAAAAUAUAUACAGCUUUUCAUGUUGCCACAACAUUGCAUUGUGACAGCAGCUCAACGCCGAGGAUCUAGUCUCACCUAAUGAGCAGCAUCCAGUGUAAAAUGAACGUGUUCAUAUAUUAAAAGGCAAAACAGA